AGCAGCGUAGAGGAGUGGUUGUCCUCACAGGUUUCAUACGCCUGAGAUCGGUGGUUCAAAUCCACCCGCUGCAACCA
rnacentral:tRNA from 1 species